AAACUUGGAUGCAUAAGUGGGUCGAAAAUGACUCGGUGAAGUUGUUUUCUUUAAAUACCUUUGUAAUGAAUAAUUGUUAUCAUUUGAUAUUCCAGCUUCCAUAAGUGGGUCAAAAAUGACGCACAUGCACUUUCUAUGGAAUCAAAUGGGAACGAUGGAGAUUGGGAACCUUUGAUCCUUAUCAACUUUGGCUGUCAGGAAUGAAUUAACUGUGGACCACACAGACAAGGAAUAUCAGAAGUGUCACCCCUCAGGAGGAUAUUUUACGUAUACACAGAUGAAAUCGUCCUACAGAUGCUGGAUGAUGGAGAAGGGUUGGACUCAGAGUCCGAAAUUUCUAAUGAUGAGGGCCCAGACUAUUGUCCAUGUGGCAGUGGCAGUCAUCCACCUCGAAAUCCAACCGAACAGGAUCAAUCUGACUCACAAGAUUUGACUUAUGCGUCCCCAGAAGAAGAAAGUUUCCAAAUCAUGGCCGAGAUAAUGAGUUGGUAGGGCUCUUACUGGAGCAAGUUACCUCCCACUCAGGGCAGAACACAGAGUCACAAUAUCCUCAGAAGUUUGUCAGGGCCAGCUCAAGAGCUUAGCAUCAAUAUCUAACCAAAAAGAUGCAUGUAUGCAUGCGAAGAUGCUCUUCAUCCCUGAUGGUAUAAUACAAGAGGGGAUGAAGUCUAUUGCUUUUCGUGUAAUUUUCUUCUUCAAAAGUGUUAAAAAGUGAAAA